CAAGAAAAAGAGGGAAAUUGCAUUGGGUAAUUACUAACUCACAUAUUCUUCUUGCCAUCAGAUUGUUAACAAGUCUGCUCUAUGGACUCCAAUGGGCUCCACAGGCUUUGAUUGUCAUCAUACUCUAGAAGGUAAAAACUUCAGAUUACUUUCGUUUGGCAUCCAGUUCAGCUUUCGCAGCAUUUGCCUCCUUCGUUUUUGCCUCGCAUUGAGAUUCUAGAUUCUUGAUCUUAGUCUUCAAGUUAACAAUCUCUUCCCCCAGUGAUUUUAUCUCCCCCGAACUACCAUUUUUCCCAUCAUCAAGGCUUCGGCUUUGUUUCUUAACGGCCUCCAUUGUCUUCCUGAGCAAACGUAGUUCUCUAAUGUAAUGGUGCAAUCUAUCUAUCAUCAGUGAGAGGAAUAGCAAGAAUCCCAUGAGAGACGCUUCAAGCAUGUGCUGGGACAUGAGGACCUGGUCCGUAGGAUUGGGAGCACCGGCCUCGAUCGUACGGUUCUGGAUCUCGACCAUACUGUAAACACUAGACAAAAGCACAAUGAAGACAGUGCGAAGACAGUACCGGCGAUGGUCUUGACCAUAAUGGGGCCUCUCCCACGCUUGACCCGAUCCAAA
rnacentral:misc_RNA from 1 species